CUUCCGUAGGGUAACCUGCGGAAGGAUCACGACAGAGCACAAGCCCAAAAGGGUAGACCUCCCACCCUUGUGUAUUAUUACUUUGUUGCUUUGGCGAGCUGCCUUCGGGCCUUGUAUGCUCGCCAGAGAAUACCAAAACUCUUUUUAUUAAUGUCGUCUGAGUACUAUAUAAUAGUUAAAACUUUCAACAACGGAUCUCUUGGUUCUGGCAUCGAUGAAGAACGCAGCGAAAUGCGAUAAGUAAUGUGAAUUGCAGAAUUCAGUGAAUCAUCGAAUCUUUGAACGCACAUUGCGCCCCUUGGUAUUCCGGGGGGCAUGCCUGUUCGAGCGUCAUUUCAACCCUCAAGCUUAGCUUGGUAUUGAGUCUAUGUCAGUAAUGGCAGGCUCUAAAAUCAGUGGCGGCGCCGCUGGGUCCUGAACGUAGUAAUAUCUCUCGUUACAGGUUCUCGGUGUGCUUCUGCCAAAACCCAAAUUUUUCUAUGGUGACCUCGGAUCAGGCAGCAAAACACGCAAAACCCAAGCAUAUCAAAAUCGGGAGGAAGG
rnacentral:rRNA from 1 species